GUGUGUGUGUGUGUGUGUGUGUGUGUGUGUGUGUGUGUGUGUGUAGAGGGAAACAGUGUCUCUUUUUCAUGAGCUCCUCUGCUGUAUAAUUGCUCCCUGCCUCUUCCUGUGAUCCACGCUGAUGUAGGGGAGGGCUCAACUUCUGACGUUAUACAAAUAGGAAUUCCCUUCGCUAGUCUCUCUCACUCCGCUCUCAUUCACUUUCACCCCGUCUGGCCCCCAGACGAACUCACUCUCCCUCUCCCUCUCUCUCUUUAUCUCUCUCUCUCUUUAUCUCUCUCUCUCUCUCUCUCUCUCUCUCUCUCUCUCUCUCUCUCCUAUAUAAACACUUAUAGUGUCUAUACUGGAGUCGGACACUCCCUCUGAGACACAGCUGCUAUAAGGUUCCUCUCACGCUCUGAACGGAGGACAUACAGAGAGAGAAAGCCGUCCGAUCACCCAGGUAAGAGGCCAGUGUCACACUUCUGAACUUUGAAUAACAUCUGCAUGUGGUUUCUCCACUCUCCGCUGUUGCUGUCUAAGUUUCCAAGGCGUUUUGCACUAAAAAAAAAUAAAACACCCCUUGUUCAGCAAUUUGGAGGUUUGUGGUGUAGUUGGUGAUGGUUGGACGGACUUUUUGAGUGAUCCACUUGAGCGUCCAGAGGAAAGGUCAUCCGUAAAUAGUUUCUUUGAAUGGGCCGUCUGAGCGACUGUGCGACAUCUGUCAGCCAGACAUGAGCUCGGGGCGGCGUGAAGCGGAGGUCAUAAAAACGCUCUCAAAACAAGGAGUGCGAGGAUGAGGCUGUGGAGAAAAGCUCAAACAUUCUUCUCAUUGUUCUCAAGUCUCGAAAGACCGUGCCAGACGCUGCACAGCCAAAACAACAUCCAGAGGAAGGCGAAGGACAAAAAAAAAGUGUGGCAAAACCAGAAAGGCCAAGCCGGGAGUAUUAGACGAGGUGUGCAAGCUGGAGCGCUAGAUCACAAGAGAGCGAAAGCGGCCGGAGGAAGCCCAGUCUCUCAGACACUAGAAGAAGGAGGGGCCAGCUGCAGUGACCACGGACUACAUGACAAAAAAUGAGCUGCCAUCGUGGGCCAAACAAUUGGAAAAUACAGCAAGUGACCAUGGAAA
ensembl:lncRNA